rnacentral:rRNA from 1 species
AACGAACGCUGGCGGCAUGCCUAACACAUGCAAGUCGAACGCGACCUUUCGGGGUCGAGUGGCGCACGGGUGAGUAGCGCGUGGGAACCUGCCCGGUUGUGGGGGAUAACCGAGGGAAACUUCGGCUAAUACCGCAUACGCCCCGGCGAAAGCUGGGGGAAAGAUUUAUCGCAGCCGGAGGGGCCCGCGUCCGAUUAGGUAGUUGGUGGGGUAACGGCCUACCAAGCCGAUGAUCGGUAGCUGGUCUGAGAGGAUGAUCAGCCACACUGGGACUGAGACACGGCCCAGACUCCUACGGGAGGCAGCAGUGGGGAAUAUUGGACAAUGGGCGCAAGCCUGAUCCAGCAAUGCCGCGUGAGUGAUGAAGGCCUUAGGGUUGUAAAGCUCUUUCGCCCGCGACGAUGAUGACGGUAGCGGGAGAAGAAGCCCCGGCUAACUUCGUGCCAGCCGCCGCUGUAAAAC